rnacentral:lncRNA from 1 species
CAUGGUAACAAGACUAAACCAACCUUAAUAUACAGGGAAUCCAUGGGUACAUUCGAAGGAGACACCGUUUUCCAGCAACUGGGUGAUGUGUUGGCAGAGCCUUGUCAGAUUGAACACUGGUCCUAAACUGAGAUUCAUAGGUAGUCAGAGACUUUGUGUAAAAGCAUGGCUGAUGGACAAUAGAGCUGGUGGUCCUCUAGAGCCACGAGGAAGAGAACAGGUUUGGGAAAUUUCGCACAGCCAAGAGUUUGGUAGGAAUUGUUAGGAAGUCAGGGAGCAAUUCCUCCAGAUUAAUAAGAAGCAAGCCUUAGCUACUCUAAGCAGUGUUAACAGCUGUUUGUGGGGCCUAGAGAGAUUGCUUAGCAGUGGAGAGCGCUUGCUGAGCUUGCAAAGCAUCUGAAUUUGGUUCCUCACUCCAACAUCCAGUAGCUCACAACGAGCUCCAGCUCCGGCUCCAGCGGAUGCCUCUGAGGGCAUAUAUAUGUAUAUGUAUAUGUAUAUGUAUAUAUAUAUAUGGUCUAUGUUUUCAGAAAGUAUAGAGACAAAGGUUCUUGGGGGAAAGUGCUCUUAUGUGUGUGUAUGUGUGUGUGUGUGUGUGUGUGAUGUGUCUGUGUAACAGGGUUUCGUGUUGCUCAAACUGACCUUGUACUUGCAUUGUUGAGUAUGAUAUGCCUGGUGUGGUGGUUUGAAUAGGAAUACCCCCGCCCCCUCCCAGACUUGUGGAUUUUAAAACCUGGUCACCAGGGAGUGCCACCAUUUGAAAGGAUUAGGAGAUGUAGCCUUGUUGGAGGAAGUGUGUCAAUGGAGGUAGGUUCUGAGGGCUCAAGGACCCAAGUUAGGCCCAGCAUCUUUCUCUUCCUACUGCCUGUGGAUCUGGCUGUAGAACUCUGAGGGUCUUCUCUAGCACCACGGCUGCUUGUGUGUCACCACACUACCUCCUAUGACGACAAUGGACUACACCUCUGAAACUGUUGCCUUGUGGGACUGAGCAACUGUUAGAUCCUGAGACUUCCAUCCACAGCUGCUGCUGACCAUUGUUGGGGAUUUGGACUGCAGACUGGAUGCUACACACUGAGUGAAUCACUUUGCUGGUUUCAGGAGAGAUCCCAGCCAAGAGGAGUGAAUACCACUCACAGGGGCAAAGGCAAGUGACCUGCUUGGAGAAACAGUCCACCUGCCCCGAGGAGAGCAGAACACCUUCACACCUUUUCCCUCUUCAUCCAAAGACUUAAAAACUAGAUCCGAGUCCCUCCCAAAGGCAAAGGAAGACAGAAGACUAUCAAGUGGAUGAAGUUUCCCAGCCUGCAAACUCAUCAUAGCCUUGGCCCAGCAUCUUACCCAUCCUCCCUCCUCCAUCAUCUGAUGUAGGACUUGCUAUAAAUUGAUGCCUCCUACCUGUCGAUGCAAGAGAAGAUAGCACCCAGUGAAGCACCUUUCCGUUUUAAAGUUUGACAAUAAAUCUAUUCCGUCUCC